UACAGAGGGUGCAAGCGUUGUUCGGAAUUAUUGGGCGUAAAGGGCGCGUAGGCGGUUUGUCGCGUCUGCCGUGAAAGUCCGGGGCUCAACUCCGGAUCUGCGGUGGGUACGGGCAGACUAGAGUGAUGUAGGGGAGACUGGAAUUCCUGGUGUAGCGGUGAAAUUCGUAGAUAUCAAGCGGAACACCGGUGGCGAAGGCGGCCUUCUGGACAGUGACUGACGCUGAGACGCGAAAGCGUGGGGAGCAAACAGG
rnacentral:rRNA from 1 species